rnacentral:rRNA from 1 species
GACGAACGCUGGCGGCGUGCUUAACACAUGCAAGUCGAACGAAGAGCGAUGGAAGCUUGCUUCUAUCAAUCUUAGUGGCGAACGGGUGAGUAACGCGUAAUCAACCUGCCCUUCAGAGGGGGACAACAGUUGGAAACGACUGCUAAUACCGCAUACGAUCCAAUCUCGGCAUCGGGACUGGAUGAAAGGUGGCCUCUAUUUAUAAGCUAUCACUGAAGGAGGGGAUUGCGUCUGAUUAGCUAGUUGGAGGGGUAACGGCCCACCAAGGCGAUGAUCAGUAGCCGGUCUGAGAGGAUGAACGGCCACAUUGGGACUGAGACACGGCCCAGACUCCUACGGGCGGCAGCAGUGGGAAAUCUUCCGCAAUGGACGAAAGUCUGACGGAGCAACGCCGCGUGAGUGAUGACGGCCUUCGGGUUGUAAAGCUCUGUUAAUCGGGACGAAUGGUUCUUGUGCGAAUAGUGCGAGGAUUUGACGGUACCGGAAUAGAAAGCCACGGCUAACUACGUG